CUUUGAUUCCUUCGGGAAGGAAAAGUUUGCGACUGAGUGGCGGACGGGUGAGUAACGCGUGGGCAACCUGCCCCGCACUGGGGGACAACAGCUGGAAACGGCUGCUAAUACCGCAUAAGCGCACAGCUUCGCAUGAAGCAGUGUGAAAAACUCCGGUGGUGCGGGAUGGACCCGCGUCUGAUUAGCUGGUUGGCGGGGUAACGGCCCACCAAGGCGACGAUCAGUAGCCGGCCUGAGAGGGUGGACGGCCACAUUGGGACUGAGACACGGCCCAGACUCCUACGGGAGGCAGCAGUGGGGAAUAUUGCACAAUGGGGGAAACCCUGAUGCAGCGACGCCGCGUGAGCGAAGAAGUAUUUCGGUAUGUAAAGCUCUAUCAGCAGGAAAGAAAAUGACGGUACCUGACUAAGAAGCUCCGGCUAAAUACGUGCCAGCAGCCGCGGUAAUACGUAUGGAGCAAGCGUUAUCCGGAUUUACUGGGUGUAAAGGGAGCGCAGGCGGUCUGGCAAGUCUGAUGUGAAAGGCCGGGGCUCAACCCCGGGACUGCAUUGGAAACUGUCAGACUGGAGUGUCGGAGAGGUAAGCGGAAUUCCUAGUGUAGCGGUGAAAUGCGUAGAUAUUAGGAGGAACACCAGUGGCGAAGGCGGCUUACUGGACGAUGACUGACGCUGAGGCUCGAAAGCGUGGGGAGCAAAACAGGAUUAGAUACCCUGGUAGUC
rnacentral:rRNA from 1 species